CCGGAUUAGAUACCCGGGUAGUCCUAGCUGUAAACGAUGCCCGCUAGGUGUGGCGCAGGCUACGAGCCUGCGCUGUGCCGUAGGGAAGCCGAGAAGCGGGCCGCCUGGGAAAGUACGUCUGCAAGGAUGAAACUUAAAGGAAUUGGCGGGGGAGCACUACAACCGGAGGAGCCUGCGGUUUAAUUGGACUCAACGCCGGACAUCUCACCAGCUCCGACAGUAGUAAUGACGGUCAGGUUGAUGACCUUACCCGAUGCUACUGAGAGGAGGUGCAUGGCCGCCGUCAGCUCGUACCGUGAGGCGUCCUGUUAAGUCAGGCAACGAGCGAGACCCGCACUCCUAAUUGCCAGCAGUACCCUUUGGGUAGCUGGGUACAUUAGGUGGACUGCCGCUGCCAAAGCGGAGGAAGGAACGGGCAACGGUAGGUCAGUAUGCCCCGAAUGAGCUGGGCAACACGCGGGCUACAAUGGUCGAGACAAUGGGAUGCAACUCCGAGAGGAGGCGCUAAUCUCCUAAACUCGAUCGUAGUUCGGAUUGAGGGCUGAAACUCGCCCUCAUGAAGCUGGAUUCGGUAGUAAUCGCGUGUCAGAAGCGCGCGGUGAAUACGUCCCUGCUCCUUGCACACACCCGCCCCGUCAAAGCACCCGAGUGGGGUUCGGA
rnacentral:rRNA from 1 species